rnacentral:misc_RNA from 1 species
UUUUAGAAGUACAAACGUUUUAGCUUGAAUUUAUUAAAAAUAAUAUCUUAUCUAUAUUGCGUCCUAGAAAAUAUGAUAAAAAAUGUUGUAGCUUUUAUUACUUUAUUAAUAAUUGCUAUUGCUGUUUAUUUUCCAUCAAGACAUGCUAGACAUUAUAGCUAUAUUCCUCUAGAUGACAUUAAGGAUGAACUAGAUUUAGAGUGGCCCCAAUAUGUUAAUUAUGAUUUAAAGAACUGUUCCUAUGAAAAUAUUCUCAGAGAUAAUAAUGAAGUUGACAUAUCUACUAUAACUGAAGAAAAACAGUUUGAAAAACCACUUUCAGGUGGAGAGUAUACACCCAGUGACUGCACACCUCUCGAGAAAUCAGCAAUUAUAGUACCAUAUCGUGACAGACCAUAUCAAUUAAACAUAUUUGUGAACUAUAUGCACUGGUACCUGCAGCAACAACAAUUGCAUUAUAGGAUAUUUAUAGUAAAUCAAAACGACUCACUGCCCUUCAAUAGAGCGAAAAUGUUAAAUUAUGGUGCCAAAUUAGCCAUUAAGAUGAAAUAUCACUGUUUAAUUUUGCACGAUGUAGACCUGAUUCCUAUUAAUUCUAGAAAUAUUUAUGCUUGUUCUAAGAUGCCUAGACAUAUGUCUAGCAGUUUGGAUAGCUUCAGGUAUAAUUUACCAUAUCUAACUUUAUUUGGGGGAGCUGUUUCCAUAACAUCUGACCAGUAUUUGAAAGUUAAUGGGAUGUCAAAUGAAUUUUUUGGAUGGGGAGGCGAAGACGAUGAUUUUUACAGGCGUUUGGUCAGUAAUAACCUCGAACCUUGUAGAUUCUCACCGGAAGUGAGUAAAUAUACCAUGUUGUCGCACAAAAAGGAAAAAGCUAGUUUAUUUUUGUUUCAAAGUUUGAAUUUUUGACAGAACCGUCGAAUUCUACUGAAGAGGAUAAGAAUGCAGACAUUAUAAUUAAAAACACUUAAGGUAGAACAUUAUUUUAAAAUUAUCGUCUAGCUUGGUGCUUUAUGGGAUCGCUGUCGCUGAGUAUUGGUCAGGGUUUCCGCUUUAUACGUUUAACAAAUAACACUGUAUAUAAUUGUCCCCAAUAAGUCAUACUGCCUGUUGUUGUACAGUUUUAGCUUACAAUCGGCGAAUCGGCGCUGCCCAGCUAAUGGGCGGCAACUUCCGUUUCAAUUUUUCUCAUCUCGAACGUCUAUCAAGAAACUUCAUUUCACUAAUUUUUAUUGUUUAAACAAAUUCAUGUUAAAUAUACUUUUUAGUCCAUUAGCGCAACAGAAACUACUAUUUGCAGUGAGAAUUGUGUAUUCCUUAAUCCGAUAAUUGACCAUGAGGAUAACCGUCAUUUGGUGUAAGUAUGUGAGAACCGAUUUAAAACCUUAGAAAGAACCAAAGACAACAAUAAAUUAGACGGCUUAAGCUCUUUAUCCAACAACUAUGUCAUAAAGCUAGAAGAACUAUAUACAUUGCUCAUCAUUCCAUAAAAUACAGCUACAGUGAGAUUAUUUUAUCAUUUUGCUCAAUAGGAAUAAGAUAUUAAGUAGCAUUACAGGUUGUUUUUAUCAUUAGGUAUACUAUCUGUAUUGCCCAAACAACUGUAGAAUUUGAGAUUUGUGAUUUUUAUUUAGACUGUUAUACCUGUUAUUUAUUUAUGAAAUAUUUAUUAUUUUGACUCAUAAUUGCAUACAGUACUUAAUAUUUUCUGUCUGACAUUUGAGUGUAUUUGGUGAGAAACAAGAAAUCCAAUAUUCCUGGAAUAAUAACAGUGUAUAUCACAGAGUUCUAUCAAAUAACAUAGAGAUCAAACAAUAGGGAACUUGCAUAAAAUUUUAAAUUCGAAAAAAUGUUAUAAAUCACAACAGAACAUAAUUUAAAACAUGUAUCAAAGAUAAAAAAGUUUUUUUUGUCUUUCGCUUGGCCCAUCCCAUAAAGACGAUAAAAAAUUCAAAUUAUACCUGCCAGGUUAUAUGUUUAACGUCAUCCGGUUAUAUGUUUACAUUCUGCACGAACAAAGUAAACAAAAUUGUAUAUAAUUUUAAAUAAGACAUUAUAAACGUCAGUAGAAAAUACAGUUAUGUGACGUCACAAGUGUUUUUGAUCGUUUGAACUAUUCACAGAAAACUUGUACUUUUACAAAAUGGUUUUAUUUUCCAUAGUAAACCUUCUUUCCUUUCCUUCAAAAACUGUAUCAAACUCCAAUCUCAAAAAACUGGUAUAUAUUAUUACAAUGACAUACGAUAAAUGUCAUUAGAAUAUAAAUUUUUCCCUUAUUACGCGACGAGGAGCUGGCCAAAUACCCAAGUAGGUGGAGGCCAAUAAACUAAAGAAGGAGAAGAAGAAUAUACCUAAAUGUAACCAUAAUCAUAAGUAUAUAAUAAAACUAUGUGACGUCACGGGUCGUUUGAACUAUUUUAUACCGCAGAAGAGUUUAAAUUUGAAGUUCUAAGUUAUUACGAGUUUUUGAAGCGUGAAAUUUUGGAAAUCUCAUUUUUAAACAAAACUGAACAUUAUUAUGUAAUAAAAAAAUGUGCAAGUUCCCUAUUAAUGUGCCAGACAGAAAAAAUUGGUACUGUAUAAAUAUCUAGAACUUGUGAUAGAGAAGUAAAUUAGUGAGAAAUCAAGUAUAAUCUCUUUCAUACCGAGACGAAAUAUUGAAAUUUACUGACAUAUGAAAAAAGUAUGAAAUGGACUAUACAUACAGUUUGUCAAAACUAGGAACGACUUUGAAAAUUCGACGGGGUGGCCGGAGAGUUUCUUUGCCGUAAUGAAUUGUUUUUGUUAUACUACAGAGAGGAAAAUGUAAUGGGUAGUUCUUUCAGACAACAGACUUUUAUUCUUCCAGUAAAAUAUAAAUGCAAGUUGUUGCAUAUACUAGAAGUUGUCCGCAAAUACUACGGUGUCAUCUGCAUACCUGAUGUUAUUUAGCCGGUACCCAUUUAGUAGAAUAACUUUUUCAGUUUCGUGCAAAGCUUCGAUGAAUAUUCUUUCGGAGUAAAGAUUGAAAAUUAGGGGGGACAAAAUGCAGCCUUGCCUCACUCCACGCAUGAUUUUCACAUAUUCGGUGUGUUCACUGUCAACUUUGAGGUUUGCAAUCUGAUUCCAGUAAAGGUUUCUAAUUAUAUUCAGAUCUUGGUUGUUAAUUCCGACUUCUUUUAGUAUUUACAUCAUCUUGGCGUGCUGUACUCGAUCAAACGCUUUCUCGUAAUCAACCAGACACGCGUAUACGUCGCAAUCCCUCUGCAUCUCUGGAAUAAGACUUGUUUUGAAAACAAAGUCUCUCUCACUCUCUCGUACCAACAGCAUUUAUGAACCCGAACUGGUUGGGCAAAGUUUGACUUUCAUAUAGCUUAUAUAUUCUCAUAUGGAUUACCUUUAGGAACAAUUUUAGGACAUGACUCAUCAGGCUUAUCAUACGGUAUCCUUCGCAUUUUUUUGGUUCCUGGUUUUUUGGAAGUGCAAUAAACUCAGACUUUAGCCAUUCUGUUGGUAUUUCUCCAGAGUUGUAUAUGUUGUUGAAUAUCUUUGUGAUUAUUGCUAUUGAUUCGUUGUCGAUCAGUUUGAGUAGUUCUGCUUGUAUAUUAUCGGGACCUGCUGCUUUGCCAUCUUUUAGCUGUGUUAUUGCAGAAUAAACUUCCUGCUGUAAUAUUCUUGGUCCACCAUUUACCUCUUCUUCUAACUCAAAGGUGUUAUCUCUUUGGUCUUCAAAUAGUUUUUCUAGAUAUUCUUUCCACGUUCUAAUUUUACUCUGUUUGUCUAAGAUGAUGUUUCCGUCAGAAUCAGUUAGAUUUCCUUUCUGUCUCCGUCUUAGUCCACCUGUGAGUUCUUUAACUUUCCUAUGUACAUUGUGACUAUCGUACUUUGACUGUAGAAUCUCAAUUUCUUGGCAUCUCUCCACUGCUUCUUUUUCUUUAGAAAGAAUAGAAAACAUUAGACGAAUUAAAUAUGAUUACAUCUUUGAAUGAUCGCAGUAGUUACAACAGCUUCCCGAGGCAACAUAUUAAAACUAAUGUACAAGGUUAAACCAGCAGCAACUGUUUGAAAAGCGUUUGACAGAGUACGCCACGAUAGGCUAAGAGACAUUCUUGAAAGAAAAGACAUAGAUAAUAAAGAUCUGCGAAUAAUUCUCAACUUAUAUUGGAAUCAGAAAGCUAACAUCAAAAUAGAAAACGAGAUAUCAAAAGCAAUAGAAAUACAUAGAGGAGUAAGACAGGGAUGUCUGAAAGCAGUAAAAGCAUCUGUCAGAAAGCCCUUUUGCAAGCAAAUGAAGGAAUCGUAAUCAAUGGAGAGGUUGUAAAUAAUAUUCGAUACGCAGACGACACUGUACUAGUUGCAAGAACAGUAGAAGAAUUACAACGAUUACUUACAAACAUAAAUAUUGCUUGCAACAAUUAUGGCAUAAACAUUAAUAUCAAAAAAACCAAGUAUAUGGUCUUCAGUAAAAUCAUGACACAACCAGCACAUAUUAGUAUAAACGGCAUUCAAAUUGAAAAAGUAUCAAGUUAUAAAUACUUGGGAACUUUAAUAAACGAAACUGGAGACCAAAACAAUGAAAUAAAAA